rnacentral:rRNA from 1 species
UACGUAGGGUGCGAGCGUUAAUCGGAAUUACUGGGCGUAAAGCGCUCGUAGGCGGUUCAGUAAGUCGGGUGUGAAAACUUUGGGCUUAACCCAAAGCGUGCAUCCGAUACUGCUGUGACUUGAGUACGGUAGGGGAGCGGGGAAUUCCUAGUGUAGCGGUGAAAUGCGCAGAUAUUAGGAGGAACACCGGUGGCGAAGGCGCCGCUCUGGGCCGAAACUGACGCUGAGGAGCGAAAGCAUGGGUAGCAAACAGG